rnacentral:rRNA from 1 species
UACGAAGGGGGCUAGCGUUGCUCGGAAUGACUGGGCGUAAAGGGCGCGUAGGCGGAUGGCACAGUCAGAUGUGAAAUUCCUGGGCUUAACCUGGGGGCUGCAUUUGAGACGUGUGAUCUGGAGUGAGGAAGAGGGUUGUGGAAUUCCCAGUGUAGAGGUGAAAUUCGUAGAUAUUGGGAAGAACACCGGUGGCGAAGGCGGCGACCUGGUCCUUAACUGACGCUGAGGUGCGAAAGCGUGGGGAGCAAACAGG